ensembl:lncRNA CEP192-DT CEP192 divergent transcript
UUUGAAGCGAGGAAGCCGCGCGCCCUGCGAGUCCGGAGGAGGAAAUGGAGCUCUGCGCUGCGUGGGACCCGGGGGACGGCUCCCGUUGGCGCCGCCUUCAAGGUAAGGGAUUAAGAGGCCGAGAGAGAUAUCGUCUGCGAGGGUGAGGAUACUGGAGGUUGGCAGUGUCAGCAUCGCAAGAGUGCUCUACCAGAGGAGGAGGAGGAGGAGGAAGGAGCUGGGCAUAACUGGACCAUCUCGAUCCAGCCCGUGGGGAAUCCAGAGGGGAUAACAAGAGGAUAUAACCACAGGACAAUUCAUUAGGCUGUGUUUUGACGUUUCCUGAAUUCUAUUCCAAAUUAUUCACAAAGGCAUAUUAAAAUAAUUUUAUCUUACAAAUUCACAUAUUUAAAAUUUGAACAUGGAAACAGACUCUAGAUGACAUCAAAUAUUCCUUAUUAUGAUAUACAAGAAUGUAACAUAUGCUAAAUAUUC